UCUCCUGUAGCUCAGUGGUAGAGCGUCCGACCGGUGUGCGGAAGGUCAUAGGUUCGACACCUACGGUUGGGGGAA